rnacentral:lncRNA from 1 species
AAAGGACCAAAAAGGAUCAUUUCAAGCACCUACCCAGGAGCAACGACAGGAGAUCAGGGAAGGAAGACUGAAAAAGGAAAAUCCUCCUCUUACAGCAGAAACAGGCUGCUGGGUUAGCUCAGCUACUGUCCAAUCCCAGGUAAGUGCUCCGUAUGCAACACCUUCUAUACGUUUAUGUAAUUACGUAAACAUCAGGCGCACCAGAAGCAGACUUUCCUUAAGCAGAGAAUUCUCCCUUCUUAAACAUACAGAAUAUAACGUGCGGUGCAAUGCGGGCACAGGCCGGCCACAACACAUCACAGCAGUCACUAACUGGUUCGUAGCCAGCAGUAGCAGCAAAUCUGUCUGAGGGUUAGGAAACUAUCCACAACAAAACAGCUCAGAACAAGUUCCUAUCUCAUCUUUUUCUAAUACUUACAUGCUAGCUGUCUUUUCCUCAUCUGCUCACAUUGUCUGCAAGCGCCACGCAAGCCCCAUGUUGUCGCAGUUAACCCUGCAAGUGUCAGCUGUCUCCCUCUGUGCUGGGGAUGGAGCGUGCCGCAAAGCCGCCCAAGCAGCUCCUCAAGCAGCAGUGAGCUGUGCGGGCUCCCCACCUGCCUCCUGCAUACAUCUCACACACAGCACAGCAGGCUGGCAGCACACACGUACCUAGCACUCUUGCUGGCCAACAGCUGUGCCUCUCUAAAUUGCUUAUGCUCAAUAUUCCUCUUCCUCCAUACUUGGUGCCUACAAUACGCAGCGGUAAAACAGAGCUUGCUGUAGAUUAAUGACAUGUUCUCAGAAACUAUUUCCACAGUAAACAUAAGUAAGAAACAAAACCUCCAAGGUGAAAUAUCAAUUACAUCAACAAGUUUGCUGAGGGAGUCAGGCCAAACUCUUGGAAAGUCACACAACCGAUGUGUUUGAUUCACACAUCGCAGCCUGCGCUCCAAGACGUUGAAAAGAUGCAGGAAACCAUGAUGCCAGCAACAACAUAUCUCUCGCUGAAGUUACGUCGUAACUCACUGUAAGUGAAAGGCAGAAGAUGAAUUCCUUAUCAGAACGAGGAGCACGACCUACCAGUUGUUCCACCAUAAAGAACAACAGCACGAACAUACGCACCUGG